rnacentral:rRNA from 1 species
GGCCACCGGCCGGUGGCGAACCUCGACACGGAGGGGCUGGAGCAGGCGUCCGUUGACACGCAGCUCGCCUCCUCCAACGUUGGCUUCAGGUUGCUGUAGAAGAUGGGCUGGAAGUCCGGCAAGGGCUUCGGCAAGAACGAGCAAGGUUUGUUUCCUCUGCUCAUCUCACUAAAGUUCGGAUGGCUAUUGUUGAUAGAUGAAAACAAGUGUGGGGUAGAACAACAAGAUAGGGUUAGAAUUCAGUCUCUGACUUCGUUCAAUUUUGCUCUAUAG